rnacentral:rRNA from 1 species
AGCGAACGCUGGCGGCAGGCCUAAUACAUGCAAGUCGAACGAACCCUUCGGGGUGAGUGGCGGACGGGUGAGUAACACGUGGGAACGUACCCUUUGGUUCGGAACAACUCAGGGAAACUUGAGCUAAUACCGGAUGCCCCCUUCGGGGGAAAGAUUUAUCGCCAAUGGAGCGGCCCGCGUCUGAUUAGCUAGUUGGCGGGGUAAAGGCCCACCAAGGCUACGAUCAGUAGCUGGUCUGAGAGGAUGAUCAGCCACACUGGGACUGAGACACGGCCCA